rnacentral:rRNA from 1 species
AAAGCGCACGUAGACGGUUUGGUAAGUCAGAUGUGAAAUCCCCGGGCUCAACCUGGGAACUGCAUUUGAUACUGCCUGGCUAGAGUAUCGAAGAGGGAAGUGGAAUUUCCGGUGUAGCGGUGAAAUGCGUAGAUAUCGGAAGGAACACCAGUGGCGAAAGCGACUUCCUGGUCGAAUACUGACGUUCAUGUGCGAAAGCGUGGGGAGCAAACAGGAUUAGAUACCCUUGU